GUGUGUGUGGGGGGGGGGGGGGGGGGGGCAGAAUCUACGCAUCCGGUACUUUCCAGUCACGUAGUUUUACAUUGAAUGGUCGGCUCCAAACAUGUGGGUCGACAACUCUUUAUUUUUAUUAGGAUUAUCUUCUUCGUCGUCGUUUUAUUCGUCUUCUUCGUCGUCGUCUUCUUCUUCGUCGUCGACGUCUUUUUCUUCUCCGUCGUCUUUUUCUUCUUUGUUGGCAAACAACUUUUAGUGGAUUACUGCUGCCUUUUGAAUUGGAGUGGAUGUCAGAAUUUUUUUAAAGACCUUCAUUCAAGACAAAACAUACAGAAACACUAACCAGGGAGAGAAAUGCUGCACAACCAAGAGAGAUGACCGCAGAGAUGACUGAAGCUGGAGUCCAGAUGUCAGCAGCUCGCUUUCAAAAAUCGCCAUGGCUAUUAUAAAACAAAAACAAGAUCAAACAACUCCAGAUUGAGCUCAAGGAGUGGCACGUGAAAAGACUCCAAGCCUGGAGAAAAGAGGAGCAUCUGUAUUAAAAACUGACCGGACUCCACAAGCUAGGAAGUGAGUGUGAAAUGCCCAUCACAGGGAAAAUUUCUGAAGGUCAUCGUGGAACCCCUUCUGGCAAUCCAUGGGCUGAGGACCCUCAACUCUCAUUCAUAAUAUGACGCGGAGAGUGGACGGUUGCCCAUGAUUGAUCUGGAGACCUUUGACUUGAUUUUCGAGGAAAUAAAUGACAAACAGGAUGCAAGAAUGAAUGACAGAAUGACUAAGCUUGGAAUUGGUUAGUCAAAAUUUUGGAUGUUGUGAUCCCCACUUCAGUCUUGAUACCUUACAAAUGGAACCUGUAGGGUUCCGUUUGGUUUAAUUGCUGUGCUGUCAAAGUUACUGACUUUUCAGUUACUUUUUUGCUUGAUUUACAAGAAAAAAAGUCCUCAAUUCAA